rnacentral:rRNA from 1 species
UACGUAGGGUGCAAGCGUUAAUCGGAAUUACUGGGCGUAAAGCGUGCGCAGGCGGUUCGCUAAGACAGAUGUGAAAUCCCCGGGCUUAACCUGGGAACUGCAUUUGUGACUGGCGGGCUAGAGUAUGGCAGAGGGGGGUAGAAUUCCACGUGUAGCAGUGAAAUGCGUAGAGAUGUGGAGGAAUACCGAUGGCGAAGGCAGCCCCCUGGGCCAAUACUGACGCUCAUGCACGAAAGCCGUGGG